UACAGAGGGGGCAAGCGUUGUUCGGAAUUACUGGGCGUAAAGGGUGCGUAGGCGGCUUUCUAAGUUGGAUGUGAAAACUAUGGGUUUAAUUUAUAGUUUGCAUCCAAAACUGGAGAGCUUGGGUUCUGGAGGGGAAAGCGGAAUUCCUGGUGUAGCGGUGUAAUGCGUAGAUAUCAGGAGGAACACCAGUGGCGAAGGCGAAUCCCUGGAAAAUACCUGACACUGAGGCACGAAAGCUAGGGGAGCAAACAGG
rnacentral:rRNA from 1 species